rnacentral:piRNA from 1 species
CUGGUAAACAGAUCACCCUC